GAUGAACGCUGGCGGCGUGCCUAAUACAUGCAAGUCGAGCGAACAGACGAGGAGCUUGCUCCUCUGACGUUAGCGGCGGACGGGUGAGUAACACGUGGAUAACCUACCUAUAAGACUGGGAUAACUUCGGGAAACCGGAGCUAAUACCGGAUAAUAUAUUGAACCGCAUGGUUCAAUAGUGAAAGACGGUUUUGCUGUCACUUAUAGAUGGAUCCGCGCCGCAUUAGCUAGUUGGUAAGGUAACGGCUUACCAAGGCAACGAUGCGUAGCCGACCUGAGAGGGGGAUCGGCCACACUGGAACUGAGACACGGUCCAGACUCCUACGGGAGGCAGCAGUAGGGAAUCUUCCGCAAUGGGCGAAAACCUUACGGAGCAACGCCGCGUGAGUUAUGAAGGUCUUCGGAUCGUAAAACUCUGUUUUUAGGGAAGAACAAAUUUGUAAGUUACUAUGCACGUCUUGACGGUACCUAAUCAGAAAGCCCCGGCUAACUACGUG
rnacentral:rRNA from 1 species